GACGAACGCUGGCGGCGUGCCUAAUACAUGCAAGUAGGACGCAGUUGCGAACGGGUGAGUAACGCGUAGGUAACUGCCUCUUAGAGGGGGGGAACUAUUGGAAACGAUAGCUCAUACCGCAUACUAGUAGAUGGACCUGCGUUGUAUUAGCUAGUAUGUAGGGUAAUGGGCUACCUAGGAAACGCUCCAUAGCCGACCUGAGAGGGGUAUCGGCCACACUUGGGCUGGGGCACGGCCCAGACUCCCACGGGAGGGAGCAGUAAGGAAGUUUCGGGAAUGGGAGGAACCCUGACCGAGCAAAGGCGCGUGAGUGGAGAAGGUUUUCGGAUCGUAAAGCUCUGGUGUUAAGGAAGCGGUACUUAACCAGAAAGGGACGGCUAACUACGUGCCAGCAGCCGCGGUAAUUC
rnacentral:rRNA from 1 species